rnacentral:rRNA from 1 species
GAUGAACGCUGGCGGCGUGCCUAAUACAUGCAAGUCGAGCGAACAGACGAGGAGCUUGCUCCUCUGACGAUAGCGGCGGACGGGUGAGUAACAUGUGGAUAACCUACCUAUAAGACUGGGAUAACUUCGGGAAACCGGAGCUAAUACCGGAUAAUAUAUUGAACCGCAGGGUUCAAUAGUGAAAGACGGUUUUGCUGUCACUUAUAGAUGGAUCCGCGCCGCAUUAGCUAGUUGGUAAGGUAACGGCUUACCAAGGCAACGAUGCGUAGCCGACCUGAGAGGGUGAUCGGCCACACUGGAACUGAGACACGGUCCAGACGCCUACGGGAGGCAGCAGUAGGGAAUCUUCCGCAAUGGGCGAAAGCCUGACGGAGCAACGCCGCGUGAGUGAUGAAGGCCUUCGGAUCGUAAAACUCUGUUAUUAGGGAAGAACAAAUGUGUAAGUAAAUAUGCACGUCUUGACGGUACCUAAUCAGAAAGCAACGGCUAACUACGUG